UACACUCCUACGGGAGGCAGCAGUGGGGAAUAUUGCACAAUGGGCGCAAGCCUGAUGCAGCCAUGCCGCGUGUAUGAAGAAGGCCUUCGGGUUGUAAAGUACUUUCAGCGGGGAGGAAGGCGAUAAGGUUAAUAACCUUGUCGAUUGACGUUACCCGCAGAAGAAGCACCGGCUAACUCCGUGCCAGCAGCCGCGGUAAUACGGAGGGUGCAAGCGUUAAUCGGAAUUACUGGGCGUAAAGCGCACGCAGGCGGUCUGUCAAGUCGGAUGUGAAAUCCCCGGGCUCAACCUGGGAACUGCAUUCGAAACUGGCAGGCUAGAGUCUUGUAGAGGGGGGUAGAAUUCCAGGUGUAGCGGUGAAAUGCGUAGAGAUCUGGAGGAAUACCGGUGGCGAAGGCGGCCCCCUGGACAAAGACUGACGCUCAGGUGCGAAAGCGUGGGGAGCAAACAGGAUUAGAAACCCCAGUAGUCCCAUGA
rnacentral:rRNA from 1 species